rnacentral:rRNA from 1 species
AUGGCGACCCUGCCGCCCAGGUCGGGAGCUUUCUCCAAGGGCUAUAAGUUGGCCUACGCCUGGGACAAGGAGGCGCCGCUCACGGGGCAGCAGAACGCCGCCAUCUCCGCGCUCUCGCACGCCCUCGCCGCCCGGCUGUUCCCGGCUAAUCUGCAAGAUGCAGACAACGACUCUGCUUUCAAGGAGGCCGGUGCAGUGGAUGCGGCCUUGGUGAACACACAUCAGUUCUACAAAUGGUUUGUUCAACUAGAAUCUGCCAUGAAAUCCGAGAUUGACGAAAAGUAUCGCCUCUAUGAGAGUACAUUACAGGAACAUGUUAACACAUGUGAUGGUAUCCUUCGACAAGUGGAUGACACACUCAACUUGUUUGAACAAGUACAAUCCUUGCACUCGAGAGCUGCCAUAAGAAUACAAACUUUGCAUGAUGCUUGCGACCAACUUUUGAUGGACAAACAAAGGCUUGUUGGGUUUGCUGAAGCACUCCGAAGCCAUCCAUCUGAGAUCCAACGUGCCACGUCAAAAUUUUCUAGUUUUGCGCGUUUAGCUCAGUUUCUACUAUAG